rnacentral:rRNA from 1 species
GACGAACGCUGGCGGCGUGCUUAACACAUGCAAGUCGAACGAAGUGGGAACGGGUGAUUAACACGUGAGUAACCUCCCUCCACUUUGGGAUAACUCCGAGAAAUCGGGGCUAAACUGGAUAGAUGGUCUCGCGGCCUAUCAGUUUGUGGGUGAGGUAGUGGCUCACCAAGGCGAUGACGGGUAGCCGGCCUGAGAGGGCGACCGGCCACACGUGGACUGAGACACGGCCCAUACUCCUACGGGAGGAAGCAGUGGGGAAUAUUGCACAAUGGGCGAAAGUCUGACCGAGCAAAGACGCGUGAGUGAAGAAGGUUUUCGGAUCGUAAAACUCUGUUGUUAGAGAAGCGGUAUCUAACCAGAAAGCCACGGCUAACUACGUGCCAGCAGCCGCGGUAAUAC